UUGAAGUUCAGGUAACACUGAAUGGAGGACCGAACCGACUUACGUUGAAAAGUGAGCGGAUGAACUGAGGGUAGCGGAGAAAUUCCAAUCGAACCUGGAGAUAGCUGGUUCUCUCCGAAAUAGCUUUAGGGCUAGCCUCAAGUGAUGAUUAUUGGAGGUAGAGCACUGUUUGGACGAGGGGCCCCUCUCGGGUUACCGAAUUCAGACAAACUCCGAAUGCCAAUUAAUUUAACUUGGGAGUCAGAACAUGGGUGAUAAGGUCCGUGUUCGAAAGGGAAACAGCCCAGACCACCAGCUAAGGUCCCAAAAUAUAUGUUAAGUGGAAAAGGAUGUGGCGUUGCCCAGACAACUAGGAUGUUGGCUUAGAAGCAGCCAUCAUUUAAAGAGUGCGUAAUAGCUCACUAGUCGAGUGACACUGCGCCGAAAAUGUACCGGGGCUAAACAUAUUACCGAAGCUGUGGAUUGUCCUUUGGACAAUGGUAGGAGAGCGUUCUAAGGGCGUUGAAGCAUGAUCGUAAGGACAUGUGGAGCGCUUAGAAGUGAGAAUGCCGGUGUGAGUAGC
rnacentral:rRNA from 1 species